UAUCUGCUAUAGAUGGCUCUGAGUUGAAUAGAAAGAUAAUAACCAGUAAAUGUUAUGGUGGGUUAACCAUGCUUGAAGCGGGCUUUGAUUUCUAGAAAAAUCAAAAAGGUUUGGGAAGGAGGAAGCGAUUAUUCCAAGAUUCUCUGCAUUAUUCUCCAUUCCCAGGAAGAAUUCCACCUUAGAAUACUGGAAUGUCCUGUCAUUAAAUUAAGAAAACCAUUUCUUAACCAGAAGAUGAGCAUACUGCCACUACAUCUUCAAGUGUGAAAAUAUAAAGAUAAAACAGAACAUAAACUUUGAUUGUUGAAUAUGAA